GCCCGUCACACCAUCCGAGUCGGGGGUACCCGAAGUCGCCAGCCCAACCCGCGAGGGGGGGCGGUUCCGAAGGUACGUCCGGCGAGGAGGGUGAAGUCGUAACAAGGUAGCCGUACCGGAAGGUGCGGCUGGAUCACCUCCUUUCUGAAGAA
rnacentral:rRNA from 1 species